rnacentral:rRNA from 1 species
AUGUAAGUUUUUGCGAGAUUUUUUAUUUAUUUAAAUAAUAAAUAAAAUUUAUAAUAUAUUCAGUAAUUAAAUUUAUUAAUCAAAGUAAUUUGGAAAUAGUAAUUUUAUAAAGUAUUGGUUAAAUUUGUGCCAGCUGCCGCGGUUAUACAAAUAAUACAAGUAAAAAUUUUUAUUAAAAGUUAAAUUUUAUUUAAAUAAAAUAUAAUUAAAUUUAUUAGGUGAAAUUUUAAAUUUAUAAAAUUUUAAUGUAAUAUUAUUGAAGCUUAUAAAUUUUGUAAAAAACUAGGAUUAGAUACCCUAUUAUUUAAAAUGUAAUAAAUAAGAAUAAAGUAGUAAUAGCUAUGUUCUUGAAACUUAAAAAAUUUGGCGGUAUUUUAAUCUAUUCAGAGGAACCUGUCCUAUAAUCGAUAGUCCACGUUGAACCUUACUUAAAUUUGUAAUCAGGUUAUAUACCGUUGUUAUCAGAAUAUUUUAAAAGAAUAAUAAUUUUCUAAAAUUUUUAUAAAAAUAUAUAUCAAAUCAAGGUGUAGCUUAUAUUUAAGAAGAGAUGGGUUACAAUAAAUUAAUUUAAUUGAAUCUAAAUUUGAAAUUUUUAGUGAAAUUGGAUUUGGUUGUAAAAUUAUAGAGAUAAAUAAUUUGAUUUUAGUUCUAAAAUAUGUACACAUCGCCCGUCGCUCUUAUUAUUAAGGUAAGAUAAGUCGUAACAUAGUAGAUGUA